UUUUUUUUUCCGAAGAUUUCUAUGAAUUAGCGAAACCUAAUUAGUUUUCCUAUAAAUACUAAACACCUAAACUCCAUUUACCAUCGCCAAACACAAAACUUGGAUGAUUUCUCUUUCUUUGUUCUUUCUUUGUUGUUUCUUUCUCUAGCUAAAAUAUUUAUUGUUUUUUUUUUCUUCUUUUCAAUUCUCUACAACUAGAAAAUUCUAGAUUUCUUCAAAAUAUGUAUCACUAAUAUAUAUUUCGUAUUGUUUUUUGCAGUUCAAUUGUAACCGGCCAUUCACGGCAACUAAGAGUGGGAUCAGUGCAUCGAAAAAUUUCUUAACGAGCUAAACUAAAAAAGACUAUCAUCUUCGUCAUGAACAUCGAGGUGAUGCGUUAGAGCGAGCGAGAGAAGAAAAAAAUGUAGAAUCUUCCUCUUUUGAUUUGUUCUCAUCUUUCAAGUUUUUA